rnacentral:rRNA from 1 species
UGACGGGCCGCACAAGCGGCGAGCAUGCGGAUUAAUUCGAUGCAACGCGAAGAACCUUACCAAGGCUUGACAUACACCGGUAACGCCCAGAGAUGGGUGCCCCUUUGUGGUCGGUGGACAGGUGGUGCGUGGUUGUCGUCAGCUCGUGUCGUGAGAUGUUGGGUUAAGUCCCGCAACGAGCGCAACCCUCGUCCUAUGUUGCCAGCGGGUCAUGCCGGGGACUCAUGGGAGACUGCCGGGGUCAACUCGGAGGAAGGUGGGGAUGACGUCAAAUCAUCAUGCCCCUUAUGUCUUGGGCUUCACGCAUGCUACAAUGGCCGGUACAAAGGGCUGCGAUACCGCGAGGUGGAGCGAAUCCCAGAAAGCCGGUCUCAGUUCGGAUUGGGGUCUGCAACUCGACCCCAUGAAGUCGGAGUCGCUAGUAAUCGCAGAUCAGCAACGCUGCGGUGAAUACGUUCCCGGGCCUU